GACGAACGCUGGCGGCGUGCCUAAUACAUGCAAGUCGAGCGAAGUUUUUCUGGUGCUUGCACUAGAAAAACUUAGCGGCGAACGGGUGAGUAACACGUAAAGAACCUGCCUCAUAGACUGGGACAACUAUUGGAAACGAUAGCUAAUACCGGAUAACAGUAUUUCUCGCAUGAGAGAUAUUUAAAAGUUGGUUAUGCUAACACUAUGAGAUGGCUUUGCGGUGCAUUAGCUAGUUGGUGGGGUAAAGGCCCACCAAGGCGACGAUACAUAGCCGACCUGAGAGGGUGAUCGGCCACACUGGGACUGAGACACGGCCCAGACUCCUACGGGAGGCAGCAGUAGGGAAUCUUCCGCAAUGGGCGAAAGCCUGACGGAGCAACGCCGCGUGAGUGAAGAAGGAUUUCGGUUCGUAAAGCUCUGUUGUUAGGGAAGAAUGGAUAUGUAGUAACUAUACAUGUAAGAGACGGUACCUAACCAGAAAGCCACGGCUAACUACGUG
rnacentral:rRNA from 1 species